UUCCUUCUUUCCUUUCUUCCUUUCUUUUUUGAACCCUGCAUUCAGCUGAUGAAGAUAUGGACCUGUGCCACUUAUGGCUGCUCUUGCCAGCACUUGGGAGGCAGGAGCAAACUUCUGUGAAUUCAAAGCCAACCAGGUCUAUGAAGUGUUACGUGCUAGUCAGGGCUACACAGAGAGGACCUGACUCAAAAAAAAAAAAAGACAAGGCAUGACAAGACGUACACCCGCAUAUGUUUGUGUUUGUGUUUCAUUGGUGAGGUUUCUUUUAUUCUUUCACUACCAGUUCAUCUCCUGUCUUUCCAUUGCUCGUGUGUGUGUUUGUGUGUGUGUGUGUGUGAUAACUAAAUGCUUUGAACUCACUAAAUGCAUGCACACAUGGUAGAUGUUCCUGAUAUCAGCUACAAAAAAGCCGAUUGUUCUAAUUUGCAAAUGUACCCAGAAAUCAGAAGCCACUGAAGCUGAAGGAUGCACAUGGAAGCCCAGGGCAGUGAGAAAAGCUUCCACUGUGGAGACAUUGGGUUUGGACUGAUCAAACAAACUCAAAUAACUACACACAUGCACACACACACACACACACACACACACACACACACACACGGGCUCUUAAAGCUACCAGGCUACAGUUGAUGGUCAUAAUAGAAAUGAGAUCUUUAGGAACAGUCAUUUGUAUGAAGUACAUAAAUGAAUGAUCUUGAACCACAAGUUCAAAUAUGUGUCAUACACUAGAAUAGAACACAAUGUAAUGUGAUGAAUAGCAGGCAUGGUUUUGGAGACUAUUCAUUACAAAGGUAACUAUAGUUGGUAGUACAUUUAAGGUUCAAAUUCAAACACUUAUGAAAUUGGGAGUUUUAUUUUCAAAGAUGUCAACGCUAUAGCUUCAAGAGUUAGGGCUUUCAUUCAAGAUCAACGUAUAGACUUUCCAAUCAUGUAUGUGAGACUCAAGUUAGAAACUCAAGUCCUUCCUUUCUCCAAACUUCAUAGGAGCCACCAGAAAUUACAUUGUGCUUUUUAUGAGAUCAUAAUUACAUCAUUUCCCCUUCCCUUUGCCCCCUCCAACCCUCCUAUGUAACCCCCUUCUCUCUUUCAAAUUUAUGAUAUAGUUUUAUUCAUUGUUGCUACAUAUGUGUGUAUGUGUUUCUAAAAUCAUAAAUACAACCUUCUCUGUAUAAUGUUACUUGACUGUAUUUGCUUUUAGGGCUGACCAUUUGGUAUUAAAUUUAAAAAUUAGUUAAAAAAAAAAAGCUACCAGGCUAACGUCAGAAUCACUUCUUAGCUGAGGAUGACUUUGAACUUUGGUCCUCUUGCCUCCACCAUCCGUGUACCCACCAGGUCCAGUUUAUAUAGUGCUGGGGAUAGACCUUAGGGCUUCAUGCAUGCCAGGCUAGCCCUUUACUGAGUCGCAUCACCAGGCUAGCUUUAGAAAACGUUAUACAGAAGACAAGGACAUUGUUAUCUCUCACAGGGAAGAGAUUGGUAAGCCACAGAAAGAUCGAGGCUAGCGUUAAGCAUCCAGCGCUUACCCUUGUUGGACUCUUAUAUUAUUCUAAGGGCUUGUGCCCCAUGUCUUGCUUCUGUGGCCAUGUGAAGGAUACAUUGUGUUUUUAUAAAAGGCUAUAAAAUUUGGGCACCUAGUUUAUGUAAGAAGUUUAUUAGGUUCAGCAUGCAUGAUACAGCGACUCUGGUAUUUUGUGAAAUGUCAAGGCCUGCUUCCUUUCUCCUGAGCUAGCUGUCCUGACACUUAUAACCCAAUUUUUUUUUUCCUGCAGUGAAGCUGUGCAAAUGGAAGUAGCUGUUAAAUUCAGGAAAGUAAAUUGGUUAUACUUAAAACUUCACUUUUAUUCAUAUAUAUUCCCCCUGUUUAAAGAACUCUCUUAGACACACACACACACACACCAUGCUCUCUAUGUGGGUCUUUCUUUCUGAAUGUUGUCUUUGUCCCUUAAUUAUGCUUGAGCCUGUAUUAAUUUUGUUUUGUUCUGUUUCUUGAGACAGGGUUUCUUUGUAUAACUCUGGCUGUCCUAGAACUUGCAAUGUGGACUAGACUGGCCUCAAACCCAUAGAGAUCUGCCUGCCUGUGGUUCCUGAGUCCUGGAAUUAUGACCAGUAUAUUAAAAUAUAUUUUUUUAAUGAAACUCCAACUCUGCUUCAUUAGGAAGAAAAGAGAAAAGCCAUGCCCAUCCUUUUGUGCCCGCUGGCUUCCAUCAAGGCAGCUUCCUGGUUGGUUGGUUGGUUGGUUGGUUGGUUGGUUUUAAUUCAGUGUCUAUAAUUUGUGCAUGGGUGGGGUGGUUCAGCUGUAGACUCACCUGUCAGGGUCCUGAAUUACAUGGUUCAUAAUAAUUAAUCAGUAAAUACUGAUUUUUUUCAUGUAGAUGAUUUAAAGGAACAGCUGGGUGCUUAUACCUACCUGCCUUUCAGCCAUUGAUUAUUUACAAGUGAUUAACCCUCAUCUAGGCUUCUCUUACUGACUCAGAGGAAGUUAGAGCUCUAGUUGCCGUCAUUAGUUUAUUGCCCUUUCCAGAUUAUAGACUAAGUGAUUUUUAAAACGGUUUUAAGGCAAGGUCUCAGUAGCUCCUGAUCGUUCUGUGCUGAGCUCACAGGUGUACCAUCUUGUGUCUUGAGGGGAUGCUGCACACAUGGAUUCAGCGAACCAUGGACCAGAAGUAUUUGGAAAAAUGUAUACUAAACACACAGACCCUUUCUUGUUACUGUUCUUUGAACUGUAUAGUAUGAAGGUAUAGUACAUAAAUAGAGCAGGCAGCUCUGUUUUACAAGUGGGGUCCUGCACUCAAUGAAGACGAGAGUUUGAGCAUUCGUUAAAUUCUAUUGGCUAUUGUAUAUGAGAGAAUGUGAAUACGUUCUGUGCAAAUGCUGUGUUAUUUAGUCUGGGUCUUCUUUAGUGUGUACAGAUUUUGUUAUCUGAGGAGGGUCAGCCAGUACUUUCUCCUAACAUCAAAGGCUGACUUCCUUAUGUGUGUAUGUUGACUUAGAGACUCCAGUGCUAGUUAUCGAUUGGUAUAAGAACCCAAUUAGCAAGGAAAAGAAGUAGAAGAGGAGGAGGAGAAAAUCCCAGCACUUAGGGGGCAGAGGCAGGAGGAUCUCUGUGAGUUUGAGGCCAACCUGGUCUACAAAGUGAGUCCCAGGACAGCAAGAGCUGUUACACAGAGAAGGCCUGUCUUGAAAAACCAUAAAGCAAAACAAACAAACAAACAAAACCAAAACCAAAAACAACCAAAAAACACCUCACCCCACAAUUAGACCCUUAGAUUCCUGAAGUAGAAAUUAAAGAGGUAAUGCUUAUAGCACCUGUCAGUUAGAGGCCAUUUAUAUCUAUCUAUCUAUAUACAUAUAUACAUAUGUAGAUACAUCUAGAUCUAUACAUGUAAGUAUAUAUCUGUAUCUAUAUCUAGAUAGAUAGAUAGAUAGAUAGAUAGAUAGAUAGAUAGAUAGAUAGCAGGAGCCCACUCUUGUGCCAUGUGACGCCAGAUGAGGGCUUCAGAUCCCCUAGAGAUGGGGUUACAGGCAGUGGUGAGCUGCGAAGCAUGGGUACCGGGAAUCCAGAGCCUGUAACUCGGGACUGCAGGAUGAAUCAGCUUCUUAAACACAGAGUUGUUUCUCCAGCCCCAGCAUGCAGAGUGCUUUCACUGUCCUAGCAGUGUUCCGUCCUCUAUCUGCUCAUCCUUUCGAUCCCAUGGCCCUGGAUAUUGUGUUUUUGGUUGUUUUUGUUUUUUUCUAUUUUUGUACCCUAGGCAACGUUUUGCUUUUUUGAGGCUCUCAUAGCGUUGGAAGCAUAAGUACAGAGCAUCUUCAGAUGGGCAUGUUCCACUUAGUAAUGUGCACUUACAGCUUCUCCUUCCCUUCCUGGAUUACAGUGUUGGGUAGUGUCUUAUUGUCUAUGUGUAUCACAGUUCCGUGUGGUCAUUAUUCAUCCAAGAAGCUAGAGCUUCUUGAGUGUUUCUGAGACUUGGCAAUUAUGAAUAAAGCUGCUAUACACAUCCACGCAGAUUUUUGUGUGGUUAUAAGUUUUUUAUCUCAUUUGCAUAAACACCAAGGAACAUGGUUGUUGGAUCAUAAAAAUACGAUCAGCUUCGUUAGAAGCUGCCAAGCUGCCCUCCAGGGUAGCUGCGUUGUUUAUUUAACACCCCCCCCCCCCAAUGAUUCGUUUUAUUUGUCAAGUUAACAAUGUAGAGUCGCCUGGGAAGGGAAAUCUUAAUUCGAGAUUCUGUUGAGACUACAUUACUCUGUGGACAAGGCUGUGAGGGAUUUUCAUAAUUGGAUGAACUGAGGUGGGAAGACCUACUCUGAAUGUGGGCAGCUCCAUUUUAUGAGCUGGUGUCCUGGAGUGAACGAAGAGGCACACAUGAGCCUGCAUUCAUUCCCUGCAUUCUGCCCUUGGCUGUGUGGAUGUGAUAUUAUCCAUCUAGUU
rnacentral:lncRNA from 1 species